AUUGAACGCUGGCGGCAGGCCUAACACAUGCAAGUCGAGCGGAUGAAGGGAGCUUGCUCCUGGAUUCAGCGGCGGACGGGUGAGUAAUGCCUAGGAAUCGGCCUGGUAGUGGGGGAUAACGUCCGGAAACGGGCGCUAAUACCGCAUACGUCCUGAGGGAGAAAGUGGGGGAUCCUCGGACCUCACGCUAUCAGAUGAGCCUAGGUCGGAUUAGCUAGUUGGUGGGGUAAAGGCCUACCAAGGCGACGAUCCGUAACUGGUCUGAGAGGAUGAUCAGUCACACUGGAACUGAGACACGGUCCAGACUCCUACGGGAGGCAGCAGUGGGGAAUAUUGGACAAUGGGCGAAAGCCUGAUCCAGCCAUGCCGCGUGUGUGAAGAAGGUCUUCGGAUUGUAAAGCACUUUAAGUUGGGAGGAAGGGCAGUAAGUUAAGACCUUGCUGUUUUGACGUUACCAACAGAAUAAGCACCGGCUAACUUCGU
rnacentral:rRNA from 1 species